rnacentral:rRNA from 1 species
CCUGACUGCUAUCGGAUUGAUACUAAGCCAUGUGAGUCUUUGCAGUAAUGCAAGGCGGACGGCUCAGUAACACGUAGUCAAUCUAACCUAUGGACAGGGAUAAUCUCGGGAAACUGAGCAUAAUACCUGAUAGAUCAUUAUGCCUGGAACGGUUAAUGGUUGAAAUGAAUUUCGCCAUAGGAUGGGACUGCGGCCUAUCAGCUUGUUGGUGAGGUAAUGGCCCACCAAGGCUAUUACAGGUACGGGCUCUGAGAGGAGAAGCCCGGAGAUGGGUACUGAGACACGGACCCAGGUCCUAUGGGGCGCAGCAGGCGAGAAAACUUUGCAAUGUGCGAAAGCACGACAAGGUUAAUCCGAGUGUUUCCUGCUAAAGGAAUCUUUUGUUAGUCGUAAAAUCACUAUUGAAUAAGGGGUGGGCAAGUUCUGGUGUCAGCCGCCGCGGUAAAACCAGCACCUCAAGUGGUCAGGAGGUUUAUUGGGCCUAAAGCAUCCGUAGCCUGAUCUAUAAGUUUCCGGUUAAAUCCAAAUGCUCAACAUUUGGGCUGCCGGAAAAACUGUAGAUCUAGGGAGUGGGAGAGGUAGACGGUACUCGGUAGGAAGGGGUAAAAUCCUUUGAUCUAUUGAUGACCACCAGUGGCGAAGGCGGUCUACCAGAACACGUUCGACGGUGAGGGAUGAAAGCUGGGGGAGCAAACCGGAUUAGAUACCCGGGUAGUCCCAGCUGUAAACGAUGCAGACUCGGUGAUGCAUUGGCUUGUGGCCAGUGCAGUGCCGCAGGGAAGCCGUUAAGUUUGCCGCCUGGGAAGUACGUACGCAAGUAUGAAACUUAAAGGAAUUGGCGGGGGAGCACCACAAGGGGUGAAGCCUGCGGUUC